rnacentral:lncRNA from 1 species
AAGUUCUUGUGCAAUUUGUGAUAGGAUUCCAUACACCUUUGUGUUGCUAUUUUGUUUUAGGCUUUGAGUCUUUAUUGCUUUCAUUAUUUUGGUUCAUAUUAUGCUUUGAGUCUUUAAUUUUCUGAAUCUAUACAUGUUUUGUCAAGUCAUGUUCAUCCAUAUUGUCAACAAUUCAUAGUAGUCCUUUUAUUUGGCUUAAUUGUUUCUUGAUUUUGGGUCUCUUUAUUUGCUUGAAUUUGCUGUUCUUUGCUCCUUUGGUGCCUUUUUAAUUUUUAGUUUGAGUUCAUAUUGUGUUUAGAUCCUACACAAUUCUAUUUCACAAAUUUCCAUUGUGUCUAAAUUUUGGUAUCUUGUUGUUUUUGUUUCCAGUUUUCAGAUUCCCCUGUUUUCACCUUCUCUGUUUUGGCUGUUUUAACCCAGAAAAAUAUUUCCACCCAUAGGAAAAUUUUGAUUCUCUGGAAAAUGCAAGUUUAAAGUGUUACAGAAAGGACAAAAAAAGAAUUAGGUCAAAAGAAGCAACAGAAAAAAAAUGAUAAAUCUUUUAAGAUCAGAGUGCAAAUCUGAAGCGCUCCAGUUGGCAUAACCGAACACCAAUUUUGCAAAAUUUAUUAAAAAAAAAUGGUGCAUCCGUUUUGAGUGAUUCCAAAGCCAGAUUUUAGAUAAGAUCCUGAAUAUCUUGCAUAACAAAUUUCAGAGCCAAAUUCUAAAAAUACAGCUCAGCAUAAAUCGGGGAACAAACACGUUUUCUGGCCCACAACAUUUUCCAGUGGUGCUGUUUUUUUUUAUUUGGUCAUCUAAUCUAGUGCUUUUAUUUAGGAAUUCUUUUGUGUGCCAACCUUUAAUUGAGUACCUUUAUUUGUUUGCUUUAAUUACUUGACUCUCUUUCUAGUUGUCACAAUCUAAAUCCUUUUGGUGGUACUGUUUUAUUCAAUUAAAUUUGUUUCUUGCUUUUGUUCUUUGACCUCUAAUUUGGGUGCUGGAAUUUAAUUCUUCUUUGGUGCUUAUGUGAAUGGGAACUUGAUUUGGUUAAGGUUUAGCUCUUUGCUAGGUGCUGGAAAUUGGAGUAUUAAAGACCAUCAUUCCAAGGAGAAGACAAGGCCAAAGCCGAAACAAGCAUUCUUGAGAAAACACUACAAACACUUGGAAGAUCAACAAGCAAAGACAACAAGGAAGUGCACUAACCAAAAGAGGAUCAACAAAGGGAGUUCUCUUAUUUCCUUUGCAACUUGGUUUAUUGUUAAUUACCUUGUUAAUUACGUUUAGACGGUGAGUGUGUCUUCAAGGGCUCAAAGUGUCCAAGAAGCCUCACCUAGGGCCGAAUAGUAUAGCAUUCUUGAUUAGUAAUUGUUACUUGUUUGUAAUUGCCUUUUCUUUUGCUUAGUUAGUGACGCUUUGCAUGGUUAUUUUGUUAAGUUUGUGUUAAACCGACUAGCUUUGUUGAUUAGUAGCUUGCAUUGUUUUCUUUCAUUGAAAAUUUGAUUUCUCAACUUAAUUGUGUUCUAAGUGGUUUACUAAGAGAAAGUUUUGUGUGAAGACAUUGAGGGAUAGUUUUUGGCUAAGGCAAAGGCUUGGUAUUUAAGUAGUCCUUUGUGACUCACCUCCCUUACCUGGAAAACUACCUUCUUUGACUUUCCUAAGUUUUCUCAAGGCAAAAUACUUGUAUACACAAAGCUUUAGCCAUGUCUUCUUCUUCUCAUUCUACAAAGUCUAUUGGAAGUGAAUUAAAAUCUUUAAAAACUCUUUUGAAAGAAGUUUCACAAACUGUGCAAUCAAUUGCUUAUAGACAAUUGGAGAGUGAGACUAAACUUAAUGUUUUGACUAAAGCAAAGGAUGAGAAGUCUCACAUUCUAAAAAAAUUACCUUCUCAUGC